UCAAACUUACCCAUUCGGCAACCCAAGUGUGCAUAUGUUUUUCUUUGAUAAUUAUUUUAUUUUGCUACUAUGCUUGGUAAACUGCAAUUAUGCCCAAUAUUUUUACCUUUGCAUUUUAGGUCUUCUCUUCUAUGUCACUAAGUACUAUAGGGAAGGGAAUAACUGAAGUUGAUUGAGAUCUAUUCUGAUUCUCCUGAUAUCCAUCUCAACAGGUUUUUAUUUGCUUUUCAACAUCCAUUUCAUAGUGGGACGUGUGGCUUUGAUUAAUAUUGCCAUAAAGUCUGCCGAAAAUGGGUGUGGUACGGAAACCCAGAAACGGCAUGAGCUCAACAUCAAACAUGGAUUAGAAUUUUAGCGGGGGAUCAAGUCAAGUCUGGAAGUGUUACAGGAUGGAAGAGUGAGCCUACAGUUGAAAAAACACUGAGAGUGCAUUGCCGUUAAGGUAUGAGGUAAAGUAAUAGAGUAUGCAAAUUGUCUAAUGAGAAGUACCAUCUUGUGUGAAUGAAUCCUGUAUAACAGCAAUCCUUUAUAGUUCUGUCACAGCUAGAAGCCUCAAAUAAUUCUGCUUCUCUUGCUAAAGAACAACUUGUCCUUAACGUUCAGAGUGUUGGUGAAGCUGGGUACAUAAAUGGCCCUAAAGAUGUUUCACUUCGCUGGCAUUGCAGCGAUGAACAUCAUACAUGGACUCUUUAGGAAAGGAUUUUCAGCAUACUGGGAACACAGCUAUCAACAAUGCAACAUUCUACGGGUGCUAUUUUAUCAUUCAAGAGCCUUAUACAAUGAUUUUCAUCUGCAAUUUGUAUGGCCUUUCCCAAGCUUCUGCCAGAAGUUGAAUCUAUGAGUCAUGUAAGUCACAUGAGCAACAAUUGAGAUGCUUAAUGGUGUUUUGCUUUUCUCAGUAUAGGUUGAUAGUAACAUUGGAUCUGAAAAGAUUCUUGGUUGGGGCAAGACACUGAAUAAAUUGCAAUGAUUGGAUGGUUAACAUGACAUUUCUAUACUUCAUUCGGAUUCCCGAGACGGUAUUUUAUAUUUAAAAAAUUGAAGUGCAUAUCUGGGCUCCC